CUGUGCAAAGGUAGCAUAAUCAUUAGUUUUUUAAUUGAAAGCUGGAAUGAAAGGUUUGAUGAGAAAAUUGCUGUUUCGAUAUUAAAAUUGAAUUUUAUUUUUAAGUUAAAAAGCUUAAAUUUUUUAAAAAGACGAGAAGACCCUAUAGAGUUUGAUAAAUAAGUUAAUAAUUUUAUUUGGAUUUAAAAAUAAAUUAUUUAUUUGUUUGUUUUAUUGGGGUGAUAUAAAAAUUAAAUAAAUUUUUUAUUUAUUUGAACAUUAAUUGAUGAAUAAUUGAUCUUAAUUUUUGGAUUAAAAGAAAAAAUUACCUUAGGGAUAACAGCGUAAUUUUUUUUGAGAGUUCUUAUCGAAAAAAAAGGUUGCGACCUCGAUGUUGGAUUAAAGUAAAAUUUUGGUGUAGAAGUUAAAAUUUUUAGGUCUGUUCGACCUUUAAAACU
rnacentral:rRNA from 1 species